GGAAGGGGGCGUGAAGAGCCGAAAGGACAUAAAUACUCGAAUCAGAUUUUAAAAUUCUUAUUUGAGCAGUAAGCUUAAAGAUUCCCAGAGCUUUUCAUCUUUCCAAGGACCUCUACCUCAACUCGCCAAGAUGAGGGUGGCUGUGUUAUUAAUGGGAAUAGGGAUGCUUUUGGGAUGUUUCGCAGACCAAGAACAACAAACCACCGAGGAAAAUGCAGAAAUCGAAGUCGACCAACGAGAAGUCAGCGUUCCUGAAGAGUGUCGAAAAUAUACAGUCUUUAACCGCUUUGACCGAGCAGUCGCCAAUAGAUUUCAGAAUGACGUAAAGUGUGACAAGAAUGCUCUUCCUGGUGAUCGCUGGUACCGCUUCUACGGCAAAGCAGGAAAUGUCAUGCCAACCCGUUGUGUACCUACAUUAAGCUGUGGUACCCAUGCCCCCGGAUGGAUGGUCGGUACUCAUCCCGUUCGUCGUUACGGCCUGGUGACACGCAAGGUGUGCUUUCAUCAACAUAAAAACUGCUGCAAAUGGAGCAACUACAUCAAAGUCAGGAACUGUGGUGGAUUCUUCGUCUACCCAGCUACCCAAGACACCAUUGUGUAAUCUCCGCUACUGCGGCAGUGGGGGGUCUACUCAUUCUCCUCCAGAGUGCCGAAAAUACACGGUCUUCAACAGCUUUGACCGAGCGAUGAGCAAUAGUGAUCAGAAUAUGAUCAGGUGUGACGGAAGAGAUCUUCCUGGUAAUCUCUGGUACCGCUUCGUCGGCAAAGCAGGAAAAAUGAUGCCAAUCAGAUGUGUACGUGAAAAACACUGUGGCACAAUCGCCCCUGGAUGGAUGGUCGGUACGCAUCCCGUCCGUCUUUACGGCCUGGUGACACGCAAGGUGUGCUUCCACUUUAAAGGAGACUGCUGCAAAUGGAGCAACUUAAUCAAAGUCAGGAACUGUGGUGAUUUCGUCGUCUACCAGCUACCCAAGACACCCGCGUGUAAUCUUCGCUACUGUGGCCGUGGCUUCUAAAAUGACUGAACCAAAGAAAAAGAUGAUCUGAGAUUCACUUGGAAUUUAGCCCAUUUUUAAACUUCAAAAACG